rnacentral:sRNA from 1 species
GACUAUAUGCAACACCCUGGUAAAGUAAUUAAACAAAAUAAUAAAUAUUAUUUCCAAACCGUGU